AUAACAAAGAUAUCUUUAAAUACUAAAAAUAAAAUUCAAGAAUCUUAAUUAAAUCAUAAAUUAAAUCUUAAAUCCUAAUCAAAUCUUAAUCCUAACUAAAUCCUAAUUCUAACCAAAACUUAAUCCUAACCAAAUCUUAAUCCUAACAAAAAUCUAAUCUUAACCAAAUCUUAAUCCUCACAAAAAUCUAAUCUUAAUCAAAUCUUAAUUCUUACCAAACUCUAAUCCAAACCAAACCCUAAUUCAAACCAAAUCCUAAACCAAACCAAAUCCUAAUCCUAAUCUUAAACCAAAC
rnacentral:lncRNA from 1 species